rnacentral:rRNA from 1 species
UACAGAGGUCUCGAGUGUUAGGCGGAAUCACUGGGCUUAAAGCGUGUGUAGGCGGAUCGUUAAGUGCCUUGUGAAAUCCCACGGCUCAACCGUGGAACUGCUUGGCAUACUGGCGGUCUUGAGCAACCUAGGGGCGAGCGGAACAAAUGGUGGAGCGGUGAAAUGCGUAGAUAUCAUGUGGAACGCCAAUGGUGAAAACAGCUCGCUGGGGGUUUGCUGACGCUGAGACACGAAAGCCAGGGGAGCAAACGGG